GGGGAGGUGGGUGAGUGGCUGAAACCGCACCCCUGCUAAGGGUGUAUACCGCAAGGUAUCGAGGGUUCGAAUCCCUCCCUCUCCGCCA
rnacentral:tRNA from 4 species